CUCUACUCACUUUUCGUUGCCCACAGAGGAAGACGGCACAAAACAUUGCUACCAAUGUAUCAACUACGAUGACAAGGGAAACUACUACAAGCAGUGCCCGAAAGACUCCAGAGUGAAGAACGCUUACCAUGCACCAUGUAAUGGCUCCUGCUUCAUCAGGUCAUACGAUUACGACGUCAAAAAGGUAGCCAGAGGCUGCAGUGACAGUCAGUGGGGGCUACCCAAUCCACUGCCACCGGAUGGAUGCUACAAAUACUACUCGGAAACUUGGUGCGUAUGCACUAAGUCCAGGUGUAAUGGCGUAGCCUUAGGCACACCUCAGAACAUAGAAUUAGACGCCCAUCUAAAAAGUAGUGGUGGACAACUCAAUGGUGCUAAAUCUGUGGAAGCAUACAGCAUUGUUAUAAUUUUUUGUAUUAGCUGUUAUGUUUAUUUCAUAAAUGUAUAUUUAAAUUCAAAUACAGAAUUGAUUUAAUA
rnacentral:sRNA from 1 species